CGUGUAGGCGGCCUUUUAAGUCAGGCGUGAAAUCCAUGGGCUUAACCCAUGAAUUGCGUUUGAAACUGGAGGGCUUGAGGAUCGGAGAGGGCAGUGGAAUUCCCAGUGUAGCGGUGAAAUGCGUAGAUAUUGGGAGGAACACCAGUGGCGAAGGCGACUGCCUGGACGACACCUGACGCUGAGGCGCGAAAGCUAGGGGAGCAAACGGGAUUAGAUACCCCGGUAGUCCUAGCCGUAAACGAUGGGUACUAGGUGUGGGAGGUAUCGACCCCUUCCGUGCCGCAGUUAACGCAAUAAGUACCCCGCCUGGGGAGUACGGCCGCAAGGUUGAA
rnacentral:rRNA from 1 species